CCGCGAGGCCCGGAGCGCCCAGGGAGCCUGCGGGCAGGCGCCCGGAAGUGCCGCGUUCCCGGCGCUUCCGGCCACCCUCGACCUGGCGGUGGGAGGCGGUCCUGGGCCGGGAGCUCCGCGCGGACCUCCGCGAGGAGGGGUGCCCCGAAACCAGCGCCACGUGGUGGGCCUCCUGCUAGGUGCGCUCCGCAGCAGACGUGGUGCCAGGGGCCAAGGACUGUCAAUUACUACCACCAGUGAUCACCUUGGUACUGAGGCUGCAUCUUGAAGACGAAUCCCAGCCCCGUUCCCCUGUUCUGAGCCUCGGAAGAGAACUGCCCCCUCCAGCUGUCUUUGCUAAAGUGCCUUGGCUCAAAAGCAUGCACCUCCCAGAUCGCACGGACACGUGACACUUGGUAUUUGUGGGACUGCAGACUUAGGCUGGCUGUUUAUUGGCAAUGCGUGGCUCAUACGUAAUUUAAAAAUUUACUAGUAGCCACAUUUACAAAAUAAAAAUAAACAAGUUAAAUUGA